rnacentral:rRNA from 1 species
GGCGUAUAUAGAGGCUCUUUUAUUUUAAAAGACCUUUUUCGAGGGUAUACUUAGAGAGGGGGUAUCGCUAUAUAGAGAGAAGGGAGGGUAAAAGCCUAUUAUCAUAUGAUGUAGAGAGAGAAUGAGAGGUUGAACAGCCACAUUGGGACUGAGACACGGCCCAAACUCCUACUGGACGCACCAGUAGGGAAUUUUCGGCAAUGGAGGAAACUCUGACCGAGCAACGCCGCGUGAACGAUGAAGUGUGUGGGUGUGUAAAGUUCUUUUAUUGAAGAAGAAAAAAUAGUGGAAAAACUAUCUUGACGAUAUUCAAUGAAUAAGCCCCGGCAAACUAUGUGCCAGCAGCCGCGGUAAUACAUAGGGGGCGAGCGUUAUCCGGAAUUAUUGGGCGUAAAGGGUGCGUAGGCGGUUUGGUAAGUCUAUAGUUUAAUUUCAGUGCUUAACACUGUUCUGCUAUAGAAACUAUCAGACUAGAGUGAGAUAGAGGCAAGUGGAAUUCCAUGUGUAGCGGUAAAAUGCGUAAAUAUAUGGAGGAACACCAGAGGCGUAGGCGGCUUGCUGGGUCUUUACUGACGCUGAGGCACGAAAGCGUGGGGAGCAAACAGGAUUAGAUACCCUGGUAGUCCACGCCGUAAACGAUGAGUACUAAGUGUCGGGGAAACUCGGUACUGAAGUUAACACAUUAAGUACUCCGCCUGAGUAGUACGUACGCAAGUAUGAAACUUAAAGGAAUUGACGGGACUCCGCACAAGCGGUGGAUCAUGUUGUUUAAUUCGAAGAUACACGAAAAACCUUACCAGGUCUUGACAUACUCUGCAAAGCUAUAGCAAUAUAGUGGAGGUUACCAGGGAUACAGGUGGUGCAUGGUUGUCGUCAGCUCGUGUCGUGAGAUGUUAGGUUAAGUCCUAAAACGAGCGCAACCCUUGUCACUAGUUGCCAGCAUGUUAUGAUGGGCACUUUAGUGAGACUGCCAAUGAAAAAUUGGAGGAAGGUGAGGAUCACGUCAAAUCAUCAUGCCCCUUAUGAUCUGGGCUACAAACGUGAUACAAUGGCUGUUACAAAGAGUAGCUAAACCCCGAGUUUAUACCGAUAUCAUAAAAGCAGUCUCAGUUCUUAUGAAGUCUCGACUCGCUUCAUGAAGUGGAAUCGCUAGUAAUCGCGAAUCAGCAUGUCGCGGUA